rnacentral:tRNA from 3 species
GCCCCGUUGGCUCAGUGGUAAAGCGCAUCACUAGUAAUGAUGAGAUCACUGGUUCGAUUCCAGUACGGGGCA